rnacentral:rRNA from 1 species
CAGCAGUGGGGAAUUUUCCGCAAUGGGCGCAAGCCUGACGGAGCAACGCCGCGUGAGGGACGAAGGCCUCUGGGCUGUAAACCUCUUUUCUCAAGGAAGAAGACAUGACGGUACUUGAGGAAUAAGCCACGGCUAAUUCCGUGCCAGCAGCCGCGGUAAUACGGGAGUGGCAAGCGUUAUCCGGAAUUAUUGGGCGUAAAGCGUCCGCAGGCGGCCUUGAAAGUCUGUUGUUAAAGCGUGGAGCUCAACUCCAUUUCAGCAAUGGAAACUACAAGGCUAGAGUGUGGUAGGGGCAGAGGGAAUUCCCGGUGUAGCGGUGAAAUGCGUAGAUAUCGGGAAGAACACCAGUGGCGAAGGCGCUCUGCUGGGCCAUAACUGACGCUCAUGGACGAAAGCCAGGGGAGCGAAAGGGAUUAGAUACCCCUGUAGUCCUGGCCGUAAACGAUGAACACUAGGUGUCGGGAGAAUUAACCCUUUCGGUGUCGUAGCCAACGCGUUAAGUGUUCCGCCUGGGGAGUACGCACGCAAGUGUGAAACUCAAAGGAAUUGACGGGGGCCCGCACAAGCGGUGGAGUAUGUGGUUUAAUUCGAUGCAACGCGAAGAACCUUACCAGGGUUUGACAUCCUGCGAAUCCUUUGGAAACUUAGGAGUGCCUUCGGGAGCGCAGUGACAGGUGGUGCAUGGCUGUCGUCAGCUCGUGUCGU